rnacentral:rRNA from 1 species
UACGUAGGCAGCGAGCGUUGUUCGGAAUUACUGGGCGUAAAGAGUGUGUAGGCGGUGUUCCCAGUCUGUUGUGAAAUCUCCCGCUUAACUGGGAGGGUGCGCCGGAAACUGGGGUGCUCGAGCGUGGGAGAGGAAAGCGGAAUUCCUGGUGUAGCGGUGAAAUGCGUAGAUAUCAGGAGGAACACCUGUGGUGUAGACAGCUUUCUGGACCUUGCUGACGCUGAGACACGAAAGCGUGGGUAGCAAACAGG